rnacentral:rRNA from 1 species
GACGAACGCUGGCGGCGUGCCUAACACAUGCAAGUCGAGCGGAGUCGAUCGACGGAAGCCUUCGGGCGGAAGAUGGUUGACUUAGCGGCGGAUGGGUGAGUAACGCGUGGGCAACCUGCCUCGAAGACCGGGAUAACAGCCCGAAAGGGCUGCUAAUACCGGAUGUGGUCAAGGAUCCGCAUGGAUUUUUGAUUAAAGGGGAAACCCGUUUCGAGAUGGGCCCGCGUCCUAUCAGCUAGUUGGUGAGGUAAAAGCUCACCAAGGCGACGACGAGUAGCCGGCCUGAGAGGGUGACCGGCCACACUGGAACUGAGACACGGUCCAGACUCCUACGGGGGCAGCAGUGGGGAAUCUUCCACAAUGGGCGAAAGCCUGAUGGAGCGACGCCGCGUGAGCGAAGAAGGCCUUCGGGUUGUAAAGCUCUGUCUGGAGGGACGAAGGAAGUGACGGUACCUCCGGAGGAAGGCCACGGCUAACUACGUGCCAGCAAGCCCGCGGUAAGUCACGUGUA